UCCGGCUUCAUCCGACGUCUGAUCGAGGCGAUUCAGGUGGCGUUUGAAAGCUUAUUCCGAGAGCUUUCUUUUGAUACCAAUUUUGAAGCAAAUGGAGGUCGGAUGAGUGAGAUAUGGAGGAGAGAAGUUUCGGGUUUUUCAAGCUUUUUCGUCAGAUCUACGACGAUCCGACCGUUGGAUCGACGAUCCGAGACCACUUAUGGACUGAGGAAGAGGAGAGGAACAUGGUGGUAUGAUCAGUUCCGCCAAAUGUCGCCGGCGACCGGCGGCCAGCCACCGUGCGCGGUGGUUCCGGCAGUGGCUCCGAUAGGCUAUGGAGGUGAUUCAACUUCCAGAGGCUUUCUCAUAAUUUUUUGGAAUUUUUGAGACACAGAUAAACUUCGGGUGAUCGAUGUCAGCUAUUUUUCUGCAUCCAGCAGCCACAAUAGUCAUCGGUGUACUGCCACAGGAGGAGUUAUUUUACAGAGCAACCUGUUUUCUUCCCCGCAGGUUUAACGUCGAUUAUUUAAUUGUUUUACUAUCUUUUUUAAAUUUAAAAUCUAGAACUCCGCAUGUGUUAGUAAUAGUGUGGACAUUGUUAGAAAUUGUGUUAAUUUAAAUUUUUGAGAUUAAUAAAUGAAGAUUUGUAUGAUAUUUAAACAGUUUGUAAAUAAGGCAACAGGGUUGAGCUGGGCUCCCCUGAUUUUAGUUUCUGAAAAUUUUUGGGCUAAGUUGGCCCGAAAUGAAAUUAUAACAGUUUGAUUUAAAUUAUCUUAUAUGCCUAUUGGGCUUAAAUUGUGGGCCUGGUUAUGGAUUUGAGGAAUAGUUGGGCUUACUACGGGCCUCGGGGGCUUUAAGCUGGCCCAGGUCCUAGUGCCGGUCCGGCCCAUAGGUUGGGUCGUGACAAAAAAAAUUUGAGAGCAUUAUACAGGCAAUAUUUAGUGAGAUGAGAAUGUUUGAUAUAUAUAUCGCAUGUCUCAUAUGAUAUAUAACGGCCCGUCCCACUAGUGAUAUUGUCCGCUCUGGGCUGAAGCCCUCACGGUUUUAAAACGCGUCACUAGGAGUUACGAACCACUAACUUAUAAGCCCAGCAUCUCUCCCGUGUUUUGUCGAUGUGGGAUUUGCCUAGGGUGUUACAUGACAUGCUAUAUACAGACAAACAAAUGAAAACUAUUUAAAUAAAAAAUUAAUUUGUAAUUA